ACUCCUACGGGAGGCAGCAGUGGGGAAUCUUGCGCAAUGGCCGAAAGGCUGACGCAGCGACGCCGCGUGUGGGAGGACGCCUUUCGGGGUGUAAACCACUGUUGCCCGGGACGAACAUCCCUUUUCGAGGGGACUGACGGUACCGGGUGAGGAAGCACCGGCUAACUCCGUGCCAGCAGCCGCGGUAAUACGAAGGUGGCAAGCGUUAUUCGGAUUUACUGGGCGUACAGGGAGCGUAGACGGUUCGGUAAGCCCUUUGUGAAAUCUUCAGGCUUAACCUGGCACAGUCGGAGGGGACUGCCGGGCUAGAGGACGGGAGAGGAGCGCGGAAUUCCCGGUGUAGCGGUGAAAUGCGUAGAGAUC
rnacentral:rRNA from 1 species